GUGGGGAAUUUUGGACAAUGGGCGCAAGCCUGAUCCAGCAAUGCCGCGUGCAGGAAGAAGGCCUUCGGGUUGUAAACUGCUUUUGUACGGAACGAAACGGUCCGGGUUAAUACCCUGGGCUAAUGACGGUACCGUAAGAAUAAGCACCGGCUAACUACGUGCCAGCAGCCGCGGUAAUACGUAGGGUGCAAGCGUUAAUCGGAAUUACUGGGCGUAAAGCGUGCGCAGGCGGUUUUGUAAGACAGGCGUGAAAUCCCCGGGCUCAACCUGGGAAUUGCGCUUGUGACUGCAAGGCUGGAGUGCGGCAGAGGGGGAUGGAAUUCCGCGUGUAGAAGUGAAAUGCGUAGAUAUGCGGAGGAACACCGAUGGCGAAGGCAAUCCCCUGGGCCUGCACUGACGCUCAUGCACGAAAGCGUGGGGAGCAAACAGGAUUAGAAACCCGUGUAGUCC
rnacentral:rRNA from 1 species